GUCGCGAGCAUGUUGAUUCCGCAGAAUCUUCAAGUGAACUGAUUGUAAGUUACUGUGUCCACUCUCGCGUAGUCCCCCAGAUGCUCACCUAGCUUAGAGUAAUGCUGACGGUCACACAGAGCAUGUUAUCCUGGCAUCAGGGGUGAGUGAGUCUGUCUAUCUCUUUUCCGUGGCAUGAUCCUGAAUAGUUCCACAUAUACUAGCAUACAUGUAUAUGGGUAGCUGCGGUCACAGCAACGAAUUAAGGGAUGAUGAGCGAAGAGUGGUCAGAAGUGAUGUUUUAAAGUGCUUCAUAUCAAUCCAGAACACGGAGAAACUCUCUAUAGGAAUCAUGCUUACUUUUGAAAAAGAUCGCUGAGUACGUUACAUUCAAUGAAAACGAUAGUGCGCAAAACUGCUUUUCCAUUCAAAUCGACUAAUAUUGAACGGGUCCAACCUUUUAUACAUACAGUAUCCGACAAAAUUAUGGAUAUCCCACCACAUUUUUCACUAUUAUUUGAAUAUAUCUUCCAAGAUAAAACAAACAACAAAAAAAUGCACAUACUAUUGAAUGAAGACUUUUUGAAGAUUUACACACAACAAAAGUAUGUAUACCGUGGCAAUAUUUGGCAUUUAAUAGGAAAAUAGUUUAGUUUGGAAUUGCUGUAUCUACAAUAGUCUAUCAAAUCUGGUAUUAUUCGAAGGCAAAUGACGGGAGAGUCCUACGGAGUGAUGCUGAGUACAAAUUUAGAGCCCUCAGCACAAAAACAUGGACUUGGAAGAUACUUUAUAUACCAGCAGGAUAACGUGCCCAAACAUACAAGUUGGUGUAGGAAGAAUGCUUCGAUCAAAAAUCGACAGAGCUCCUACUAUGGUCUGCCCAAACCUCUGACUUAAAUGUUAUUUAGUAUUUAUAGCAAUAUUUAAAUGAUAAGCUCGACCGAUAUUCUAGUCAUCCCAAUAAAUGAGAAAUUUUAAAUAGAUUGCAGGACUUCUUGGAAAACAUACUAGAAUCACUUUUUCUGAACUUUGUAGACAGUAUGUCUUAAAGUCUUUUGACUGUAAUUAACACUAAAGAUGCCAACACCAUAUUUGAAGCUCUAUUUAUAAGCUAACAUUAUAAUACAUAAUUGCCUUUUGCAGAUGAUCGCGUGUUUUGCAACAAAUAGUUCAAAUGUACUAUAUAUAGAAAAAUAACAAAAUAGAAAAACAAUCAAAGCGAUAAAUUUCACUGCUAAAAAGAUAUAAUCAUAUUGGUGUUUACAUUCAUAGGGUAUACAUAAUUUUGUCGUAUACU